GAGGUUGUGGCUCAGUGGUAGAGCGCUUGCCUAGCAUGUGUGAGGCACUGGGUUCGAUUACCAGCACCACA
rnacentral:tRNA from 1 species